rnacentral:tRNA from 1 species
GGGCGUUUAACUCAGCGGGAGAGUGCAAUCCUCACACGGUUGAAGUCACUGGUUCAAAUCCAGUAACGCCCA